rnacentral:tRNA from 1 species
GUCCCUGUAGCGCAAUGGAUAGCGUGUUGGACUUUUAAUCCGAAGGUCGUGGGUUCGAAUCCCACCUAGAAUG